AGCCUCCUUGCUGGGGCUGGAGGAGCCCCGAAGAUGCUCACGACUUGUGGCAGCUGCUGUGUGAGGACAGGGCAGCGAUGUGGUCCCCACAACCCUCAGCUUGUCCUGGAUCUGCACAAGGCUGUGCAGGAAAGGGCACCUCAUUUCCCCAGAGACCAUGGUCAGCUUUGUUAGAACAACAGGUCUGUAGGUCCCUGCUCUACCCUGAGGAGUAAAUACAAGCCCUGGUGGCAGCACCAGCACGCGAGUUUGUAGCACACCAUAGCACAUACAGAUUAAAAAAAACCUUACUUGACACCUUCCUCUUUGCUACACCCACUGAGAAAUGUAGCCCAGAUUAAUGAUAUUUUUCCAAAGUUCCCAUUGCAUCUGUCUGUGCUGAAUUCAUAUGCAGAAGUCUAUACGAAGAAAUGAAUUGCUAGAAUUCCUAAUGAAUUUGGUUAUCAGAGAGGCCUUUCUAAUAAAGAUAAUAUACGUCAGCAGAGCUGGCAGGGUUUUUA